rnacentral:lncRNA from 1 species
AUCAGAAAUAGAUUGAUUAUAUUGUAAAUGAUAUAGUUUGUAUUUAUUUCAUUUUCGUGUGAAUACGAUAUUUAAUGCAACCACUUUUGCAUAAAGUUGUAAGCCAAAGAUUUAUGUAUCUCAAAUUCUAUGCAUUUAUUGCAGCCUUUCAUACAAAAGGUGCUUUUACUGAGUCAUGAUAUAACAGUACGUAACAAACUGCAAAUUUUGCCUUCAGACAC